CUCUGCACUGAAAUGCCACCCUUCACAGAAAGGCACCAAAGCAACAGGCUAUUAAAUUUAGUUAAAUAUUAAAUUUCUCAUUUAAUGAUUGCCCACACAACUGGUUUUAUCAGCAGAGAGCUGGCUGUCCCACAGGGGAGCUGAGUUAAGCCAUUUUAUUUGUUCCCAUAAUUGCAUUCAGAGAGGGGAGAAGCACGGCAGAGGAAAUAAGAAAAGACCGGCCUGUUCCCGAAGCGUUCUUCUUUUGACAUCGGGGCCGUGGGGACCUGCAGUCUGAAGCAUGCAAACGGCCACUCCUCAGUCAGAUGUGAGCCCCUCUCAUAUUUGGUGGAAUCAGCUAUUAUCAGAUCUGGGCACGCGGAGCCUGCAGGAGCCAGGGCAGCUCACGAGGGCUGCCCCCCGGCUGUGCCCCAGCGGCAGACGCCGAGCGGCGGUGACCGGGGCCGUUCUGAGACUCUGCUGGCUCUGGUCCUUGGAGGAACUGCCACUUGGCCGGAUUUGAGGACACGAAUGUCCAGAAUCAAAUGGAAGCCAAUAAGCAGCCGAGCUAGAGGAGAGCAGAGCCGCCGCCCCUCUCUCGCGUUUCUGAGGGGGGCGGGAGCCUGGGGACUGCACGCAGAUCACUCGAGUCUGGCCGCCCGCCUGGAUUUUCUGGGCCCUUCCCGGCGUGUUUCGGACAGCUUCCUCUCGUGCACCUGGCCCGGCAGCAUCAGGGCCCCGUCCUCCCUGCUCGGUGACUGCAGCAUCACAGAUGCGGCCUGCCCACCCGGGGCUGCCCGGCUCAGGCUGGUCCCCAGCCUGAGGCCGGCACGGAUACCCUCCAGACCCCCAUCUCGCCUGGAGACUGUGUUCUCCAGCUCCCAACGGCCAGCUGUUAAGCCACACAGUUUGGGUGGUGAUUGUUCUUUUUGCCGUGUCUCUCUUUCUCUCCGGCCAGAUUCUAAGCAACCUGGAAGCAGGGCGAUAGCAGGGCUGGAACCCAGGGAAUGAUCACCGCCUUCCGACCCUGACCGGACCUUCGAGGGCCCGUCUGCCGCCUGCCGAGCUGUGUUCCCACGGCUUCUGUUUGCCUGUCACUGUCACACCACGUGGGCCAUACACAGCUGGACGUCCAGGCUUUCCACAGUUUACCCAAAGGCCACCUCCCCAAGAGCCCGAUCGCCUGCGGGCCACUGGGCUGUGGGCAGGUGCCCCACGUCCUGCCUCUGAUCCGCACGCCGGUGGGACCCGCCCUCCCGACUUGUGAGGCAGCUCUGUACUCUGCUUGCCGGGCCCAAACACCAUCAGGGACUCAGCGCUGCGCCAGGUUCAACCGGGGCUGCCUCUGGAGCAGUGAUCAGGGACGCUGCAGUUGUGAGCACGUCACUCAGGUGACAGCAAAGCAAAGGCCUUGGGCUCCUGGGGCCCGGGUCUGGGACCUUGUGCUUAGGGUCACAUGAACCAAGGUCUGGCCUGGCCGUGGCCGUGCGAUCUCAGGUAACUUGCCGUGCGGCUCGCGCCCAGUACUGUCCGGGAAGCCUCAGGCAGGCUGGUCCUUGGUAUUAAGUGGUUACUUGGUUAUGUUAAAAGUGGUGGAUGUGGUGCUGACGGGGAUUAAGCAUUCGGGGUGCAGUUCAAGGGCUCGGUCCUGCCGACCCCAGAAUCCUCCCCGAGGCUGCACACCGGGGCCGAGCGGGGUUCAUCCCAGAGCAAAGGAUCCUUGGCCCGGCUCAGGGCGGACACAGGACGGAGCCGCUAGGCCUGAGCAGCCCCGCUGCUCGGCGCUCCGAGGGGAGGGACGGGCUGUGCCCCAGCCGCUGGGCUCGCCAUGACCCCAGCGCUUUCCAGCUGGCAACGCUUCAGGCGUGCUCCUCUCCCUGGGUUGUCUUCUUGAAUAACGGGGGUAGUAAGAGCUCCUGCCUCGUGGGCUGCGGUGGGGUGGAACGAGUGAAAGCAGGCAGAGUGUGUGCAGCAGCGCUGGCCCCAAACCAGCUCUGUAACCUGCCUGAGGUCAAUGUCGCUGUCACCGCCACUCCUGAGGCCUCCAGCCUUUCUCCAGGUCCUGUUUCCAGAUGUUCGUGCCGCAGCCUCGGGCAGCACAGGCACACGGCGUGGCUUCUGGGAGCCCGAACCUCCCAGGACAGCUCCUGCAGGCAGGGGCAGCCGGGGGACGGAGUGCCCACCGCUUGCCUCUGUGAUGCUCCUGGAGCGUUUCCACGGCCUUUCAGCCCCGAAGAGCACGGCCCAUGUGAAACGCACCUGAGGCCCGAAGGCUGCUCAGUGAGCCGCGUGGUCCUGCACGUGAUGCACGUGGCUCCGAGCCCAGCAGAGGAGCCCCAAGGCUCGGACGGGCCCAGGGUCUGGGGGCACCGGCUCUGCCCCUCACCCGAGAGGGGCCCACCCAGUUCGACAGACAAACCAAAACCUGAGGGCACUUUGUUCUGUGCUGGCACAGCUGGAGAUGAGAUGGGCAGUGAGGCUCCAGAGCCGACAUCAGACACAUCAGAAGUUAAACACACAGAAAAAUCCCCGGCUGACUCCCCGCCGCCAAGGCCCAGAGGCUAGACUCUGGGUUUGACACGCUAUCGGGACCUGCAACCUUCAAUUCUUAUUUUCCAGGCGGCCCCAGGCCUCUCCUGUGGUGUCAGCUUCCGGCACAGAGCACAAGGAAAGGCGCGGGGCGGGGGCCGAGGCAUGGGGUCCUGCCCAAGUCAUCAUCUGCAAGUCACACAGUCUCCCUGUCCCCACCCCUGUGACUGGCACCUGAUGGGCAUGCCGUUCAUGGGCAGACAGAGGGAACUGAAGAAAUUAAACAUUUGAAAAAUCUUUUAAAAAA